AGAAGCCAUCAAGUAUCAAAAAAGAACAUACGGUAAAAGGUUGGGCAGAAUAGAUGGUAAAAAGAGUUAGUUCUCUUCCAAAAGCCACAUGCACUCUCUCUCUAGCACGCUGCUAUGAUAUGUCACAAUACGUCCAACAAUCCAUUCAAGAGCACAGCAGAGGCAGCAGUGGGUACGGCUUUGGAAGAUCUAGUCUGCCCUUCCACCAUCAACUGCAGGAUCUUGAGCAAGUCAUUUAACCCCUCUGAGCCUCGGUCUCCUCAAAUGUGAAUCGAAGAGAAUACUCUCUCCCCAGCAGACCUCAAAACACUUUGAUCUUGAAGUUCCCGUUCAAGUCAGCAGAAAAGUCAUGUAAGAGCAGAUCAGCCCUGUCUUAGUGGCGCCUCCAUCACUUCAGGUGCCAGCCCUCUAGCUGACAGGUCAAUAGACAGUCUUCCCUGAAUGGGAAGCACAAUGAGCACACUUCAUAAUUCUAGGGUUUGAGACGAUGACUAACACCUUGUGUUACAGCCAUACUUGCCACUGACGAGAGGUCAAUUACACUGACGAUGUGAAUUCUUUACAAAGUCAAGCUCAUUCUAUCCUAGUAACAAGGAUUCUUCCAGAGUUGACACUAGUCAAAUAGUCACAAAAAUGUUUCCCUGGAGACUGUGGUGAAUGCUGCGGAGAAGAAGUUCAGGGACCACGAAAGAAACCAACGGUGGUGGGCAGACGGAGCCCACCUGUAAGGAGGAGAAGCGACCCCGAGAAAGCCCAUUCUAUCUGAAGGAGGUGCAGGAGCUCAGAGAAAGGGAUGGAGAGCAGGGGAGAAGAGCCAGCCACGCAAAGGGAACAGCAUGUGCAAAGUUCUCUUACACCAGCCUGUAUUUCACGUCCCCGGCCUCAAUUUCCUCAUUGUAACGUAAAGGGGAAAAUCAAAGGAUUUUACUGUCUGACAG
rnacentral:lncRNA from 1 species